GACGAACGCUGGCGGCGUGCUUAACACAUGCAAGUCGAACGAAGUGGCGAACGGGUGAGUAACGCGUAAUCAACCUGCCCUUCGUAGGGGGACAACAGUUGGCAACGACUGCUAAUACCGCAUACUGAAGGAGUGGAUUGCGUCUGAUUUGCUAGGUGGAGGGGUAACGGCCCACCAAGGCGAUGAUCAGUAGGCGGUCGGGGAGGAUGAACGGCCACAUUGGGACUGAGACAGGGCCCAGACGCCUACGGGAGGCAGCAGUGGGGAAUCGUCCGCAAUGGACGAAAGUCUGACGGAGCAACGCCGCGGGAGUGAUGACGGCCUUCGGGUUGUAAAGCUCUGUUAAUCGGGACGCGGUACCGGAAUAGAAAGCCACGGCUAACUACGUGCCAGCAGCCGCGGUAAUAC
rnacentral:rRNA from 1 species